rnacentral:misc_RNA from 1 species
GAAAUGCGAUAAGUAGUGUGAAUUGCAGAAUUCAGUGAAUCAUCGAAUCUUUGAACGCACAUUGCGCCCCUUGGUAUUCCAUGGGGCAUGCCUGUUCGAGCGUCAUUUACACCCUCAAGCUUUGCUUGGUGUUGGGCGUCUGUCUCCCCCCCCGUCUUUGACCUCGGAUCAGGUAGGGAUACCCGCUGAACUUAAGC